rnacentral:rRNA from 1 species
UACAGAGGUGGCAAGCGUUGUUCGGAAUUACUGGGCGUAAAGGGCGCGUAGGCGGUCCGAUAAGUCCCGUGUGAAAGCCCCCGGCUCAACUGGGGAACUGCACGGGAAACUGACGGACUUGAGUUCGGGAGAGGGAAGCGGAAUUCCGGGUGUAGCGGUGAAAUUCGUAGAUAUUCGGAGGAACACCAGUGGCGAAGGCGGCUCACUGGUCCGGUACUGACGCUGAGGUGCGAAAGCGUGGGGAGCAAACAGG